rnacentral:tRNA from 1 species
AAAAAGUUAGUAUAUAUAUUAUAAUUGGUUGUCGGCCUUUAGAAGGGGAUUUAUUCCUCACUUUUUG